rnacentral:rRNA from 1 species
GCUUGUCUCAAAGAUUAAGCCAUGCAUGUCUAAGUAUAAGCAUUAUACAGUGAAACUGCGAAUGGCUCAUUAUAUCAGUUAUAGUUUAUUUGAUAGUCCCUGCUAUUUGGAUAACCGUAGUAAUUCUAGAGCUAAUACAUGCGUAAAUACCCAACUGCUUGUCGGACGGGUAGCAUUUAUUAGAUUGAAACCAAUGCAGCUUCGGCUGGUAUUGUGUUGAGUCAUAAUAACUGUGCGGAUCGCUUUUUAAGCGAUAAAUCGAUUGAGUUUCUGCCCUAUCAGCUUUGGAUGGUAGGAUAUGGGCCUACCAUGGCGUUAACGGGUAACGGGGAAUUAGGGUUUGAUUCCGGAGAGGGAGCCUUAGAAACGGCUACCACAUCCAAGGAAGGCAGCAGG